rnacentral:rRNA from 1 species
UACGUAGGGUGCGAGCGUUGUCCGGAAUUAUUGGGCGUAAAGGGUUCGUAGGCGGUGCGGCAAGUCGGGAGUGAAAUCUCUGGGCUUAACCCAGAGGCUGCUUCCGAAACUGCUGUGCUUGAGUGUGGGAGAGGCGCGUGGAAUUGCAGGUGUAGCGGUGAAAUGCGUAGAUAUCUGCAGGAACACCCGUGGCGAAAGCGGCGCGCUGGACCACUACUGACGCUGAGGAACGAGAGCUAGGGGAGCAAACAGG